rnacentral:rRNA from 1 species
GAUGAACGCUGGCGGCGUGCCUAAUACAUGCAAGUCGAGCGAACGGACGAGAAGCUUGCUUCUCUGAUGUUAGCGGCGGACGGGUGAGUAACACGUGGAUAACCUACCUAUAAGACUGGGAUAACUUCGGGAAACCGGAGCUAAUACCGGAUAAUAUUUUGAACCGCAUGGUUCAAAAGCGAAAGACGGUCUUGCUGUCACUUAUAGAUGGAUCCGCGCUGCAUUAGCUAGUUGGUAAGGUAACGGCUUACCAAGGCAACGAUGCAUAGCCGACCUGAGAGGGUGAUCGGCCACACUGGAACUGAGACACGGUCCAGACUCCUAAGGGAGGCAGCAGUAGGGAAUCUGCCGCAAUGGGCGAAAGCCUGACGGAGCAACGCCGCGUGAGUGAUGAAGGUCUUCGGAUCGUAAAACUCUGUUAUUAGGGAAGAACAUAUGUGUAAGUAACUGUGCACAUCUUGACGGUACCUAAUCAGAAAGCCACGGCUAACUACGU